rnacentral:lncRNA from 1 species
AGAAGAGGAGAGGAGAAGAGAGGUUGGGACCAGUCUUCACCCCCUGGAAUGUCGCUGAUGAUAAAACCAUAAUGGUGGCAGCCCCAGCAUUUACAAAGAGGAGGGAUGCGGCACGGCCAUCUUGCUGAAAGCCCGAACUAAAGGAAGCUGUGUUUGGACAACAGGCACAAUUUGGGGUGGUGGCACAGGGCCACACACCUCCGGUUACCCCUUGGAUCAACCACAGGUAACCUAUGCAUGUGGCACAAAAUUCAAAAAAUACAAAAGGAUGUACGUUGAAAAGGUCUCACUCUGUUACCCAGGCUGGAGUGCAGUGGAGUGAUUAUAGCUUACUGCAGCCUUGACCUUCUGGGCUCAAGAGAUCCUCCCACCAUCACGAGGUCAGGAGAUCGAGACCAUCUUGGCUAAGAAGCUCGACUCCGCGCUCUCCUCGCCGGCCGCCGCCGCCCAGCCUGCGCCCGCCGUCCCCCCAGUGCCUGGGCA